CGAAGACAUUAAAAACCAUAACGUGAUGGUCACCAACUCUGUCCAAUGUGGGUCCUGCAGAGUGGGCGCUCGAGGACGUUUGUUGAAUGAACAACCAAGGGAAGGAAAGCCUCUUCUCGUUCUGAAUUUCGUUUCAUCUCAGACCCCUACCUUGGCACACACACAGCAGGAGAGACUGUCUCUGGACCCACAUCCCAUAACCGACGUCUACGCCUGAAUCUGCCACUUGAGCUGGGCCGGUUUGGUAGCACAGAUUCUACGUUGGGGUUGGGUCCUGCUCCCCAGCUUCCUUGUGGGGUAACCUCACCAAGCUGCUCCCCCCAUGAGCCUCUGUUUCUUCAUCUGCAAAAUGGGGAAAUUAACAGGACCAACCUCAGAGGCUGGCUGCAAAGAUUCAGUGAAUCACUGCAUGGAAAGGGCUUAGAGUGAGGUGUGAGGCUCGGAAUAAAUGCACAGUGAGUGAGUCCUCCAGCAGGCCCCCCAACCCCUCACCUGUGACCCCAGAGCCCCCACGGCGAGCAAUAAACCUGACCUCUUCACCUUGAUCCCGGUCCCAGGGGCCUUUGAUACCCUCAAAAUCAUAGAGUCCUUUGAACUAAACAUACCGUGGUUCCUUUAC